rnacentral:lncRNA from 1 species
UCUGAAUAUAUAUUGUCACUGACCUGAACAACAUUUCUCCAUGUAGGAGACACAAACGUGAGUUUGGAAGAGUUCGCCAGGACCAUCGAGAACAUUGAGGAAUGAAUUGAGAUAACCCCAUUGUAGAGAGAGUGGCACUACACCAUUGAAGUUGAUCUCGUAAAUGAUUCUGAAUGAUUCCGUUGCAAGUGUAUGAUUUCAAUAAAUCAUCAUAACCAUCAA